rnacentral:rRNA from 1 species
AAUCAACGCUGGCGGCGUGCCUCAGACAUGCAAGUCGAACGAUUAAAGCUCUCUUCGGAGAGUGUAUAGAGUGGCGCACGGGUGAGUAACACGUAAGUAAUCUACCCUCGAGUGGGGAAUAACGUCCGGAAACGGACGCUAAUACCGCAUAAUGCAGCCGCACCGCAAGGUGACAGUUGUUAAAGAUUUAUCGCUUGAGGAGGAGCUUGCGGCAGAUUAGCUAGUUGGUAAGGUAAUGGCUUACCAAGGCUACGAUCUGUAACCGGUCUUAGAGGACGGUCGGUCACACUGACACUGAAUAACGGGUCAGACUCCUACGGGAGGCAGCAGUCGGGAAUUUUGGGCAAUGGGCGAAAGCCUGACCCAGCAACGCCGCGUGAAGGAUGAGGUAUUUCGGUAUGUAAACUUCGAAAGAAUAGGAAGAAUAAAUGACGGUACUAUUUAUAAGGUCCGGCUAACUACGUGCCAGCCGCCGCCGUAACAC